rnacentral:rRNA from 1 species
GACAGAGGGUGCAAGCGUUGUUCGGAAUUAUUGGGCGUAAAGGGCGCGUAGGUGGCCAAGUAAGUCAGAUGUGAAAGCCCAGGGCUUAACCCUGGAAGUGCAUCUGAUACUGCAUGGCUUGAGUCCCGGAGAGGGUCGUGGAAUUCCCAGUGUAGCGGUGAAAUGCGUAGAUACUGGGAGGAACACCGGUGGCGAAGGCGGCUACCUGGACCGGUUCUGACGCUGAUGCGCGAAAGCGUGGGUAGCAAACAGG